AGAUACCGAAAGACUGCUCUCAGGUCACCCCGGCACCUUCUCUCAGCUCUCAGCCUGUCCUCAUAGGGGAGGGGUUCCAUUCCCUGGAUCAUCUUGCUUCACUGUAAACCAGUAAUCCAACUCUAUCCACAUCUCCCACCCUCGCAUCCCAUAAUUUUGUUAACUUCUUGGACAUAAAUUAAAAGAAAGUAACUCAACCUUUCCUGGUGGCCUUCCAGAAGACAGUCAUCUCUUCAACAACCUAAAUGGAAGAAAAGAAAAGCUUCUUAUUUUAGUUACAUUUUAAUUACUUUUGUGUGCCACUCACUCCCUCUGCAACCUACCAUUCCUAUUUUUGGGUGGAAUUUUUAUUGCUCCUCUUUUCUACAAAUAAUAGGCUGCCAAUUACAGCAAGGCUAUUUCCUGAAGAUAAUUAGUCACAGUACAAAAUCUCCAUGAAAGCACUUCACAUUUGCAUGGAAAACGUCAGCCAGCUGCAAGACUCAGGGAACUAUGUAGCAAGCAGAGGUGGACAUUUCAGCAUGACGAAAACAUAGCAUCUCUGAAGUGGUCUGCAGCCACCCCUUAGUUAGCACAGAGAAAUACUAUGUUACUUAGUAGUAUACAUUCAGAGAAAG
ensembl:lncRNA